AAGAGAAGAGCAGAGAGGGAAGGGGCCGGGCCCAGGGCUGUGCCCUUGGGCUGAGCCUUGUGGGCAGCCUGAGGAUCUCCUGCAGUGCCACAGGAGCUCUUCUGUCCUGCCUUUCUUUGCAGAUGAACCUUCCGGUGAAGGCCCCACAUCCAGGACUGAGGCUCUGGGAGAUGCUGAGGGUGUGUCUGCCGGGAGGACUUCUCCAGGUCCAGGGCUGGAUGCUUGGCCCCAACCCAGCUCCCAUGGCAGGGGUCCUGCAAAAGGAAAGACCCAAGAUACUGCAGCCAAAACAUCUCAUGAGGCAGAUGAAUUCCUGAGACAAACACAGAAGCAAGCACCCCGAGGACAAGUGAUGGACCAAAAGGCUGUUCAGGAGGAGGAACACUCAGGGAGAAGCAGUGGCUCAUUGGCAGCCCUAGCUGCAGGAAGGAAGGUGAUGGCAGAGACGGGCACAGGCACAGCAGGUGUAUUACCAGCUCAUAGCUGGAAGUAUGCUACAACCACUGCCUAGAACAGAUCCGUCUCUCCCUGAAGGGAAUGACCUAGCUGCCCAUCCAGGAUAGGAGGUGCAGCCCUCUAGCCAGGGAAUGGAUUAUUCGAAAAGUUAUAUUUACUUGUAAAAAUUUUAGAUGUUUAUUAAAAACCUUAUUAGAAAUAUAACAGGACACUGAAUAAAGACAAUGUUACUGUGCCGGGAGUAGAGGAU